UUCUACCCUGGGGCAGAAGUAUUUAUGUCUGCAAUUAGAAUAGCUCCAGGUUUGAAUCCCAGUGCCUGGGUUCUGGUGCCAACUCUGGAUUGGCUCACAUUUUGGACUUGGGUUCUACUUUCCCCUUGUUGGGCCUCAGACAUUUUCUCUUUUAUAACACAGAAGUCUGGGAUCAUAAUAUUGGCUCCCAACCAAACUCUGGUCCUUGUAAGAGCCUGUGGAAGGGAUGGAGGUGGGAGGGGGUUGAGAAUGACACUUGCUGGGAGAGACACAGUUUCUGGUAAUGUCCCCACCUCCCAUGGCAGCUGCUGGGAAGAGGCAGCAUCUUUUUUUCACCAGAAGUUGCUCUGACAUCAAAAGUGCAACAGCUGCACCUAGACCUGCCAGCCUCCCUUUUCCUGGACAAAGAACUUCCAGCCAGCCAUCCUUUAUAAGCCCUACUGUUCCCGUGACUCGGGGCUGUCACCAUUUUCUUAGGCUUUAGCCCACCUGUGCAAGGCCGGACACUAAAGCUCCUUUUGAUCAAAAAAAAAAAAAAAAAAAGUGCAACAGCUGCUCUCGAGGCUGCUUCUGCCUCUUCUGCUGUUGUCUCCUGUCUGGACUCCCUGAUACCUGAGACAGGGCAGACAGGUGGCCAGCAGACAAGGAAGGUCCUGCCCUAGAGCCUCAAGGGCACUGUGCUGCUUAUGACCCUGACUGUCACAGUACAGGUGAAUCCUGUCAGCUUUGUCAGAGCGGCUCUACCCCCGAGUUACAUCAGGAAGGCAGGGGGAUAGGGCAGACUGGAAGGGCCUAGACCCUAGAAGCUAAACAGGCGCCCAACGUCCCCACCACUGGGUGGACGCUUGGGACUGGUUAUUAUUCUAGCCAGAUUGUGAAAGAAGUCCUCCAUCUCUUGACUCCCAAGAGGAAUAUAAUGUCAGAGUAGAAGUUCCCUGAGCUGGGAGGCAGCGUCCUUCAGCCUCAGCAGUGGAGAGUGGAAGCUGGAGGGGCAAAGAGUCAGGCAGAUAACGUUUUGACCUAGUUUGGUUUUCUCUCCUUUGAAGUUCUAAUCUUGUCAAGUGCUACUGAGGUUUGAUUUCCCAUCCUGGGAUCUGGGUAAAGCUGGUAGAGGCAGAGCCUCAUGGAGAAGCCCAGGGGUAGGGCCAGACAGGAUGUGCUUGGGGCAGCCCGAGGCAGACAUAGUCCGAGGCUGGUUCAUACCCCAUAGGGAGCGCCACGGCCAGGGCUGGAAGAACAGUAUCAGUUCUAGAAUCCACAGGAGCCUGGGGGACUCAGGCAGGGUCAAGGCUAGACCCUCAUCUGUUCCAGAUGCUAGUGGACCCCCUUUCCUUGGCAUUCUGUGGCAUGGGUGAGGAUAGUCGGUUUAAGGCUGCAGUUUCUGGCUGGACAAGUAGGGCUGAAUUUGGUGUCUCUAUAGCCAAUGUCAGGGGCUUCUAGGCCCCACUAGCUUCAAAAGUCCUUUGGCAAUUUAGAGAAUAGGUACCCAAGACAAGCUGAGGAUGCCAGUAGAUCUAUGAGCUCAUGUCAGACAGGGGCAUUGAGGAAGAUGCUCCAGGAAGGCAGGGAGCUCUGGUAUUCUGUUGGCAGCCACUGUCCUUCCCCGCCUGCCUCCCCCGCCCCCAAUCCUUUGCCACCCCCCGCCCCAGCCCAGCCUCCGAGGAUCUGCAGUGUUUGUGGCAUGUGCUGUCAUCUUGGUGGAGGCGCAGAUGGAGAAGUAAUCAAGCAGCACCGUUUGCUUUUUGGAAGCAACAGAACAGAAGACCUCGUGUCAUUUUAACAAAGAAGGAAUGAAACAGCAGGCAAUUAGGCAGGAGUGUAUCAAUUAGUGAGCCAGAAAAAUGCUUUAUAGUAUUUUGAUGAUUCAACACUGUCACAACAAAAACAAAAUUAAAAAACAAACCCCCAAACAAAUACCAAAAAGCCCACAGAAAUUGUUAAAUAAUCACUUCAUUUAAAUGCAGUUAACAUACAUGAAAAUGGUAAAAAGCCAUUUCGUAGGGAAGAGAGCUAAUAUAAUGUGAUUAUGUUCUUGGUUUGUAAAAAGAAUACAGUUGUGUGGAUUCCCAUCCAGUGUUCCCCUCUCAACACAGUCCCCUUCUGGCUAACAAUCUACUAUGACCUUCUGCCCACCUCUCGGCCUAGAAAAUGUAGUUGAGUCUUCACACUGAGCUGGGCACAGACACGGAGCUGUUUGUCCUUCCUUGGCCAGACCAAGGGGGAAGUGACCUGGAAUUGUGUGAGGUAUAUCUUUCGCAAGUAGAUAAGGAAAAAGACUGUGUUUGGUCAUGAUCGAGCCUUGGAUUUGAAUCCCAGCUUUGACAUGCACUAGGAGAAGAUACCUUAGCCUUUUAGAGAUCCAGUAUCCUCAUUUGUAAAUCAGAAUAUUCCUACUCUGCAAGGUCAUUGUCAGGAUCAAAUAAAAAAAAUACAUUAAAAAGCUCAUGAUAUACAGUAGGUGCUAAACAAAUAUUUCUCUUUCCUUCUCAGAGCUUCAGUCUUGACAAUAGCUUCUGUCUCUUGGAGUGCCAAUCAAUGGCGGCAUUUUACAUCCCAACUUGCCUUACAAGUAAUAGUAAGGGCCAUUUGGCCACAUGGCAAUUACAGCCUUGCUUGGUGGUAACUCAAGUUGUUUUCUUUAGAGAACACCUUCCUUGUUUCCACAAGAGUUUUGCCUCCAGAUGAAACCUGUGCAAGAAAUUUUUGUUCUGAGUGGAGGAUGCAUAGCAGAUUUCUAGCUGCUUUGUAUCUAUUUGUUGCCUUAGGUUCUUUAAUUCUCAACUACAGUAAAGAUGUUCAAUGCACACAGAGCUAACUAGUAUUAGAGCAGAGUCAUUCAUUUAUUCAUCCAUCCAUCCAUCCAUUCAUUCAUUCACUCAUUCAUUCUACAUCAUGCUCUCCAGACAGGAUGUUUGUGAGAGUGGAAGAAAGGGAAAUGGGACAGGGGGAGGUUGGGGUGUGCCUGGAAGUGUGAAGAGGAGGUUGCAGAGAUGAAGUUGUCCUCCUGGUGGGAUAAUUGUUAGUAUCCGUGGUCAAGAGCAAUGUUUGUCAAGUGCCAGAUCAUUGGUUCCCACAGAGAGCUCCACAUCCAUUCAGAGAUGCCUCCUUGCAACUUGUCCCUCAGCUUUGGAGCAGGUGGGGUGGAAGCUAAGCUUUGGAGGAAGGCAGAGUUAGCGAAGGGCUGAGGCUGCCUAGACAUGCCUGUGGAAGUUCGAGCACAAUUCUGAGACAUGUGCUGGGGCUGGGCUGGCCUGGUUCUGUGUGACACUCAUGCUAUUAGGAUCGUGAAAAAUGUAUUUAUUCAUACACUCGAUACCCACAGUGCCUCCAUUCACACAAACCCACGUGGCCAGAACCCCAGGACCGCAGAGCUGGAUAGCCACUAGAAGUCAUUUAGCCAGCAGGAUCAUGAUACAAGUGAGGAAACUGAGACCCACGGUGGGGGUGGGGGGGAGUUCACAGGUCCAAGACCACUCGGAGAGCUGGAGGGAGGACCCCGUGACCCCUGCUGUCCCUUCCCCUCACUGCUCCCCAUCCCACACAACGCCACCCCUUAGACACAAGCACUCCCAAUUCUCUAACCCUUCCUUCUAGUAUUUACCUUUAUUUUCCUGAGUUCCAAGGUUAGACUGGUAUUUCUUAAUUUACCAGUUUUAGGCAAAUAUCUGUUGACUUCUUGUCAGGUAGAUGUGGAGUCAGCUCUCCUAUACUUCCUGUCCCCCCUUUUAGCCUCCUGAUCCACCAAAAUCCUCUCAAUUGAAUGAAAAACACUGUUUACUACAGGUCAAGUAGGUCCUAUGAAUACAUUUUCUUUCUUGUACAAUUUUUAUUUUCCUAGAAUUAAAAAUUGCACACUAUUUUUCAUUUGCACAGUCUAGUGAUACACCCGUCAUCGUUUUCCCCCAUUGGAUCCGUCACAGCCUUGGCAGACAGGUGUCCCCAAAUGAGAGCUGCUUUUUCUGCCAUGUCUGGGAUCAUCCUGAUUUCAAGCCUCAAUAACCUGGGGUGCCCAGUCCUCACCAGUCUUGUUGGGAUGCUAACAGGAGUCUCCUGCAUUGCAGGGGUCCCUGCCCUCCCCGCUCACCCAGGGCCCGUGCUCCUGGUGCAGGCUCGCCCUCCUUCCAGGUACUUCCGGGAGUUCCAGGGUAUUUCCCACACAUGCUCACCAAGGUAUCUGCUCUGGUCUCUCCUGCUGUGUGGCUGCGUCUGACUGAGCUGCCUGCUUCUCUGCCCACUGUGAACCAGCGUCUCCUUCUGGUGCUGCAGACCCCUGCCAGAUACUGCCGUCUAUUGUGAGACCUCAUGAUGCCAGCAGAGCGUUGCAUUGUGUAGAUGCCACACAGCUGUAGCUGUCAGCAAGUCAUGCUGCGUGACAAAUCAGCAAAAAUGGAGCUCGGGAAAUGCUGUCACUUCCCUCCAUUAAUGCAAGAGCUGUGGACAAGUCCCUACAUUGUCACUGCUCCAAAUUACACCUGAGAUUGAUAAUAGAGUACCCUGUGCAAAGGAUUCUCCAAAUGUGAUUUCCAGAAACUUGAGAGAAAGUACCAAUAGAAUUCCUCAGUGGAACAUAUGCACAUUUUGUGGCCAAACCGUAUUUGUGUUAUUUGGAAAGUCUGGAGUUAUCCUGAGGUGAGACAUGGCAUCUGGCUAAACGAGCCAGUGGCUCCCAUCUCCACACAGAUGUGGUAAGCCAGCACCAGGGAGGGUGUGACUGUGGGUCAGGACAACCUCUCCCUGGGGCUUAGACGGGUGCGCUCCACUUCUGCCUUUUUUAAUGUUCACGCUCUGGGAUGUCAUCCUCUGCUGUUUUCAGCCCUUCUCCAAAAAGGGAACAAUACAAAUGAUCAGGCUUCUGCAGGUGAAAUUACAAUCACUACCACUUCUCUCAGAGGUUGCUGCUGGGCACCUUGGGUGGAGUUUGGUGGUUCCCGUAUUUCUCUGGUUACAGUCUUUUGGUUUGUUCCCACCGAUCGCCUAUCAUACCGUGGCAUGUAUAUUCUACUGGGUUCAACCUCAGAGGGUGACCUUAUUCCCAUUUCUUCUGGAUCCUGGGCUGUCAUUUACUUUACAUGCAUAUUUGCAAUUGAUAACGAGGCACAGAGGGAAUCUGAUGGCAGCCUCUCAUACCUGCUCACCAGGCAGGGGGUGAACCAGCAGACAGGUGUGGCUAAUGGAGCAGUCUUCCCUCGGCUCUAGCUGGAACUCCUUUCCUCCCCUGUUCUCCAAGUGCCAGUGUAUGGCCCCUAUGGUUCUUGGCCCAUAGUGUCUGCCCUGGGCUGGAGCUUUGCUGCCUGAGGGCCUUUAUGAUUUAUGUGAAAAUGUUUGUCCUCUGUUUAUAUUGCUUCACCCUAAAUUCAGUUCAAUGCCCACAUGCUGGCAUGGAAGGCAGGUCCUUCCUGUUCACGCACCUUGCUACCUACUCCUGCUCCUUGGCGGCCCUGUGCACACUCUCUCUUUCCACCAACCAGCCAUCCUGGCCAUCCCCAGGUUCUGGGGCUGCUACCUUCUCUGCUCCAUAGGGUGAUAGGGAAAGAAAGGGCAGUUGCCUGAUGAAGAGUGAGCAGCUAGGAAAGAUGAAUGAACUAUUACAGUUUCUCCUGGGCUGAAGCUGUCAGUGUUCUAUAGGUCAUGAUUCAUCAGGCACUUUUGAGUGGUUUGCACACAAAUAAGGUAAAUGGUUAGAAUGUGGAUAACUGCCGGUGUUAGGUUUUUGCCUACGUGGAAAGACCAAUGGUUGUCACUAGAGGGCUGUCUCUGGGGGCGUGAGUCUCCUUCCGGCAGCUCUGGAUGGCCUCUGGCAGAGAAGCCAGAGGCACAGCCUUAGUUUCCUUCCUGGACCGGAUGUUGGAUAGGCAGGGUGUGUUAAAGGCCGUCAGUGUCCCAAAGAACAUGGCUGCCUCUCCAUUUUCAUGGCUGCAGCCAUGGUCCAUGCUCCCUGUGUUUCUGGGAUGACAGUAAGCUUCCAAAUCUGAUCUCUUUACAUCUACCCUUGUCUGGCUUCUUUCUGUCCCUCCUUCACUCUGCAGCUGGGAUUCUGUAAAUGAGAACUUGUCACUUAAAAUUGUCCAGUGGCUUCCCACUGCACUUGGAAUAAGGCCUGUGCCUUACUGCAAGGAUUUACAUGAUCUGGUGCAGCUUACCUGCAUCCUUUCUGCUUGCACCCUUUGGAGUGUGGACGGAGAACAGUCAAGUUCUUCCUGCCCCAGGGCCUUGGCACUUGCAGUUCCGUCCACCUGGAGAGGUCUUCACAUGCUCAGAGCCAUCUCAUUCUUCAGGUCUGCUCAAAUGCCCCCUUUUGAAACAAACCUUCUCUGGCCCUUACCUAGAGCAUCUCUAACCUGACCUUGACCCAGAUACCCUUUAUAACAUCAUCCUUUUUUAUGGUCUUCCGAGCACUGAUUAUCAGAAAUCAUCUCUGUUGAUGUUGUUUAUUAGACCAUCAGAUCCACGAAGGAAGGCUCUCACAUGUCUGGGUCAGGACAAUUGUCUCCAUGUCUGGCACUUUUAGCAGUCACUGAAAUAAAUACACCAUUGAAUUACUCUGUCUACAAAGCCUUAGGCUUACGGCUAUUUGGCUGCAGCAUCUAGAGUCAUUUGAAAGCCAUUCAUGUGCAGGAGUAUGACAAUGGACAGAAGCUCCUCAAAAAUCUUCUUUCUGUAUAUUUGGGGGUUAGGUUAGGUCAGGCCGGGUCCUCGGCUUCCUGAGUUAUCGUAAGAGCAGUUUUUUUAACUUCCCUGCUCUGCAUGUUGGUGGUUUCAGCAUGUGGCCCUCUGGUUUCUUGGAGAUCCUCAUCUUCUCAGAUUCUAAAAUGGGAAUAAUUGCACACAGUUAUUUAUCACCUUCCUAUAGAUACUGUAUAUUUUUGAGAAGGCUGUAUUGACUAACCUUGCUUUUAUUUUUUUGUCUUGGAGAAAUAAAGUCUCCCUGAUUUAGUUAUAGGCAUGAUUUGGAAAAAUUAAAAAGUUUUUGAGAGUCGGAGACUUGCAUGCGGGAGUACUGGUGCCACAUCAAUGAGAUGUGAGCCGUGGUCUCUCUGAGUGUGCGCAGCAGAGGCCGCACCCAGGGAGAGGGAGCUGCCCUUCCCCUCUUCCUUUCCAGCAGCCCCAGACCUGUGGGAGCAGGAAGUUAAUCAUCACCUCCUAGGACACUUGGAACCUCCUCUCAUCUUGAAAGGAUUUUCCUCACGCUGGGCUCAGGAGGGGAGGAGACCCACAUGUCCCACACAGACAGUUAUUUCCGUGGCUUUGUACCCUCUGGGUACAUAUGUGCCUGACAUACUUGAACUUUGAUCAAGAGAUACGUGCAGAAUUCAGUGUGGAGAGAAGUGCUGGCUGAGGAGACCCCAAAGCCCCCCUGCUGGGUGAUUAUAAUGAAUGUGGGAGCCUGCUCUGUGUCGAGCCACUGGGCAAGCCAGGCUGGCUUUGGCGGAGGCUGCCGCAGGGAGCUCCCUUCCCCCAGUUGGUAAGAUCACACCAUCUGGAGGGAGGAGGCCAUUGGACACCACCCUGCCAUGGUUGCCUCUCAUCCCACAGGCCAUCGAUGGGGCUGAGAGGAGGCAGGCUUGGAAGGUAUGCUCCUGCAGCCCAAGGCCCAGGAAGAUGUCAGACAAGAUGGACGAUGCAGACACCUGGCAGGACAAACUUAAGUACCCUUCUCAGCUUGCAUGGACACUCAUACUCCCAGAGGCUGCGCCAUGCUUGGCACCGUACUCAGGGAGCCUCUUCUCUGUCCCUUUCAUCCUGAUGACAUUAUAUGCAGCAGGAUUUUAUUUUAUUUAUUUCACUAUUACAUAGGAAGGGACUCUUUAAAAAGGGUAAAUACUUUGCCUGAAGCCACCAGUAUUCUAGUUCUCUGUUGCUGUGUAACAAACCAUCCCCAAACCCAAUGGCCUGAAAAGACGAUGAUUAUUAAACUUGGAAAUUCUGUGGGUGCAAGGGGACGGCUUGUCUUUGCUCUAACAGGUCUGGACCUUCAGCUGGAAAGUCUCAGAUGAUUGGAGGUGACUCGAAUGGGAGACUGGCACCUUGCUGGGACACCUGGAAGGUGGGAUUCAGCUGGAACUAAUGCCAGGGUACCCACAUGCGGCCUCUACACGCAGCUGUGGUUCAUCCAUGCAGCACGGCGCUGGGUGCCAGAGGAAGAGUACCAAGAGGACACUUUCUCACCAUCUGGAGAGUGAGAGAACCUAGGAAAGGCUUCUCCUGACUUAGCAAGUCACCUAGCAUCCCUUCCUCCCUACUUGAUUGGUUGAAGCAGCCACAAGCCCUCCCCAUUUCCAAGGAAGGGGACAGAUAGUCCCUACUUUGCGAUGGGUUCAUUUGCCUGUUCAUCACAUCCUGGAAUCACCAUAGCCUCCUAAAGUCUUGGCACCUCCAAGCACUAGGUGAGUAGCCAUGGGCAUAUCACACAGCUUCUUUUGACCUCAGUUUUCUGCAAAAUAGUGAUCAGUAUAUCUGCUUCCAGCAAAGUUAGGGGGAUUGAAUGGGUUGAUAUGAGGAAGUGUUUUCGAAUCUGAUAAACACAAUAUAUGUUAGCUGGUUUUUAAAUGCAGUUUUACUGAGAUAUAUUCAAACACCAUAUAUGUUAUUAUUAUAAUCAUUUCCUCCAGCAAUUAGCAAGCAGAGGGAAUCACCCAGACCAAGUACUUAGUAAAUAUGUGCACUUUAGUUGUGAUUUACUCCCGACCCUAAAUGAAGUUCAUUGCAGAAGGAGAGUGUAACUUUUAUCUCCUGUCCCACUUGGGGACAUAUGUCACAGAAACCCUUCUGUGUGAAUUGGCUAUGCCAUACCUCUUCUUAUGCUGCCAAGCUGGAAGAGUGAUGGCAGGCUUCUGUAACUGACAUAAUCACAGCA